rnacentral:lncRNA from 1 species
GCAAUGGCUAACCACCGCGCCGCUGCCGCCCUCCUCCUAAUUGCGUCCCUCUUCAUGGCGGUCACCAUCUUCAGGGCCGACGCCAGGUCCACCGUGCGUCCCAAUAAGACAGUUGGCCUCCACCAUGACAUUAAUGCGCAAGGUAUGCAGCUACAUACACUCUGACCUGUCGUCCAAGCAAUCAUCCGCAUGAAAUGCAUCUGUGCCGUGAAUCGUUGUUUGACCAUAUGAUGAGUGUGCACGCCGAAUGAAUGAAAUGUCACAGGUUACAUGGUGGAUGCUACGGCACCGACGGUGCUGGAUCCAGAGUGCGAAGGUGAGGGGAAGCAUCACAAGGGGCAUGGUCGUUCGAGGGAGUCAGAAUCGCCAAAGCCAGAGCCGUAGGUGGAGUCGCCAAAGACAGGUCUGCCUUGAAGCCACGUGCGCUUUGAGUGCCUGCAUGCCUGGCUUAAUAAUGUGCCCUUCUCCCCUGGUCCCUGCGUCGCGACAAUGAGUCAUGCUAUAUAUGGCUUUCAAUAAGGAGGCGUGUCUUAUGGUCGUUUCGUUUUCUUGGUUAUGCUCCCCUCCAUGUAUGAGCGAAUAAGUUGCUAAUUAGCUAUGAUCCCUAGAUUGUGUGUCACACUUUUUCCAGUGUAGUGAUGCGUGUAUUUUCAAGGAAAAUUUGAUUUCGUCAGUUUGCUCUCAUGUAGUCAUGUGUUUGAUAUGCAUGUCCCGUGCAUCCGUGUGAUCUUCAUUUUGUCCAUCGUGUUGCCGGUGAGUGAUGCUUUGGACUCUGCUAAUUCAACCUCCACUGGACUAAAACGUAUGUCUCCAAGCGGUCACACAUUUUUAUGGUUGUACAAAUUUAGAUCCCUAAUUAAUAACCACCAAAAAUACGCUUUACGAUGCUAUAGGUAAACACUAGUAGUAGUGAACCAUACAUUAUCCAAAUAUUAUGUAUAUCUAAAUACAUAGCACAAAGUAAUGUGUUAUAAUUUCAAAUGGCAGAGUAUGAUGCUGUCACUCUUAAGAGAUUGCAUGUAUGGAUGUUCAAAUUUAUUAUAGAAACCGGCAUUUAUAGUUCUAUUUUUUGUUGAUAUAGCAAAAAUAAAUACAAGAAGAUAGCCCUAAGAGGCUAGGCUACCUACAUAAAAACGAAAAUAAACAAAAGCAACAAUGCCACACACUAUAGAGCCGGUGGACAAGCAACAGACACAACACACAGAACACGGUCAUCGCAAACUCCACAGCAACUCAACAAGACCCACGAGCCACCAAUAUUCCAAGAUGAUGAGUCAUCUACUGGUGGACCUUCUAGCCAGCUGACCUAGCUUCCUUGGUGUUAUAAGCCGUCUAUGACAUGGUAAACUGGUGGCUCCGUCGAAGGCUGAAGCUAAGCAUAGGAAUCAGCAGAGGUUACACUCUUGCGCUGCUAGUUGCUGGGCUUCUUUGCACGUAAUGGCGAAGCCUCCUUAGGGCCAUACGGGGUCCUGGCCCCCUUUCAUCGCCAAGAAAAUUUGUGGCAUGGAUGACAAUGCAUGUGCAUGCAAUGAUGAAUAUGUGUUCUUGCUUUUGCCUUGUUUCCUCCAACACAUGAUGCGGCAAGCAUCAAGUCCAAUCCUAUUACUACUAGUCUACUAUCUAGCCCAUGUCUCAUGUCUGGCUUGUGAUGAAGGUUUGUGCAAGACCAAUCUUUGACAGCGCUACAAAUGAUCAGAUCAUGUCGGGCUGCAAUAAUAUUCUUGUGAAGUUGAACAUUUAUCAUCAUCCUCGCUCAAACUUGAGCAUGUCCCUCUGGUCAGCGUGAUAUAUGAUAGGAUCAACCUCCCAGAGCCAGCAUUCAAGAUAAGAUUAAUCCUCAUUAGGAUCUAGUCUUUAGAAAUAGAGAGGUAGAGAGAGGGAAGAGUUGGGAAAAGGUGCCAGCCAAUCGAUGCUCUAAGGCUUGUACCUUAGCGGAAGUCAAUCUACGUCUAAGAUUUAUCUUGUAGUGAACUUCUUAUUUUAGUAAGCAACAUUGUUUAUAUUGUUCUCCUGGUUUGCGAGUCUUCUAUUAGUACUUUAAUCUACCCAUGGCGUUAAUACUAAUCGAAUUAAUUCUUGUAUGUAUAGACACUACGACCCAAGUGAUCAAAGGGAUUGCUAUAUUAAUGAUAGCUUCUAGGAUUUAAUAGCACUAUUUUUUUGUGGUAGGUGAUGUGUGCGUGGACAGCGAGACGUCAAUGGUGACUUUGUCAAUCUCAGGAUUUGUCGAUCUAACUCAGUUCUUCAAAGCUGCUCAUAGGGGUACGGUGUGUGUAUGCAAUCAUAGGGGUGAGCGUGCGCUCGUAUUUUGAGUGUUUGUGUCUCUAACUGCGUAUCGCAAAACAAGAGCCAUUUGAAAAAUGAAUUUGAGUCCCAUACACAAUUUAUAGUACCUAACAAAUUUAUUUAAUACAAAUUUGUCUUUAUGUCCUCGUCCCUAAGACAAUUUAUGGCUACAAUUUUACAUGCUUUAUACUAAAUUUUAGAACGAAAGAAGUAAAGUAUAACUUAUACCUUAUUUGUUAACCUAACUUAUUUCAAAUUAUUUAUAGGUGUGGUUUUUUAGGAAAACACAAUAUUAGACCUCAUCUCAGGCUGUACUUUUCUUGUUGUAGCCUUGCUACACGCUGUUGUGUUAAUAUGUGCAGCAGCCAGAGCUGCAACCAACCAGGCCGCACCAAAUAAGAUCCUCCAAAGUAGUUUAUGGAUCUGUCAUAAGCUGGAUACCUAGUUUGAUUAUGGAUUUGUCAUAAGCUGGGAACGUAGCGAGCUAAAUAUGGAUUAGUCAUAAGCUGAGUGCCUUGCUUGUUUAUGGAUUUGUUAAGGUUUUAAUAUUGCUAGCAAGCUAUAGAUGAUUCGGGUUAUUUGGCAAUCCAUUCAUCAUUGGGCUUAUAACCCAAGUCCAGGGGUAAACAAACAAGGAGCGAGAAGCUGUCUUCCAGAUCUUUUAAUUAAAUAUUUUUGUAUUCCGGGUAACUCCACGUUUUCUCACGAGGCAACACUCACAAACCUCGCUAACUCCUCUUAAUACAUCCAUAGGUACAUAGGGCAAAUAAGAAGGUAACUAAUUAAGAUCGUUGCUCAGCCAAAACCAUACUCCAAAUGAGCUCCAUUGGAAUCAUAAGCACCCCUCAGAUUCACUUGGUCUCGUGCCAACCAAAUUGCAAUGGAGACGCCGGCUAAAAGAUGUGCUGCGACGACAUGUCCAUAGCAGCGUCAUCGAUUCACUCGUCCGUUGCUCGUCCUUGCAACGACAUGUCAGGUUGUAUGUCUCUGCACUUGUAGCUUCUUCUAUUGAUUCGUCGUGUAUUACUACAUACAUCUUAUCAGCUACCCCAUUCGUCGGGCUAUAAGAAGGCGUGAAGCAUGCUCUUUGCCACACCAAGCCAUCCAAACAAUAAAGCAAAUAUAGCUUGAGCUCAAUUUUUCUACACAAAAUCUAUCUGCUUGCACAGUUCAAGCGGCAGCACUCGCAAUGGCUAACCACCGCGCCGCUGCCGCCCUCCUCCUAAUUGCGUCCCUCUUCAUGGCGGUCACCAUCUCCAGGGCCGACGCCAGGUCCACCGUGCGUCCCAAUAAGACAGUUGGCCUCCACCAUGACAUUAAUGCGCAAGGUAUGCAGCUACAUACACUCUGACCUGUCGUCCAAGCAAUCAUCCGCAUGAAAUGCAUCUGUGCCGUGAAUCGUUGUUUGACCAUAUGAUGAGUGUGCACGCCGAAUGAAUGAAAUGUCACAGGUUACAUGGUGGAUGCUACGGCACCGACGGUGCUGGAUCCAGAGUGCGAAGGUGAGGGGAAGCAUCACAAGGGGCAUGAUCGUUCGAGGGAGUCAGAAUCGCCAAAGCCAGAGCCGUAGGUGGAGUCGCCAAAGACAGGUCUGCCUUGAAGCCACGUGCGCUUUGAGUGCCUGCAUGCCUGGCUUAAUAAUGUGCGCUUCUCCCCUGGUCCCUGCGUCGCGACAAUGAGUCAUGCUAUAUAUGGCUUUCAAUAUGGAGGCGUGUCCUAUGGUCGUUUCGUUUUCUUGGUUAUGCUCCCCUCCAUGUAUGAGCGAAUAAGUUGCUAAUUAGCUAUGAUCCCUAGAUUGUGUGUCACACUUUUUCCAGUGUAGUGAUGCGUGUAUUUUCAAGGAAAAUUUGAUUUCGUCAGUUUGCUCUCAUGUAGUCAUGUGUUUGAUAUGCAUG